CCUACGGGCGGCAGCAGUGAGGAAUAUUGGUCAAUGGGCGCGAGCCUGAACCAGCCAAGUAGCGUGAAGGAUGACUGCCCUACGGGUUGUAAACUUCUUUUAUAAAGGAAUAAAGUGAGGCACGUGUGCCUUUUUGUAUGUACUUUAUGAAUAAGGAUCGGCUAACUCCGUGCCAGCAGCCGCGGUAAUACGGAGGAUCCGAGCGUUAUCCGGAUUUAUUGGGUUUAAAGGGAGCGUAGGCGGGCAUUUAAGCCGGCGGUCAAAUGUCGGGGCUCAACCCCGGCCUGCCGUCGAAACUGGGUGCCUUGAGGGGGCGAGAGGUAUGCGGAAUGCGUGGUGUAGCGGUGAAAUGCAUAGAUAUCACGAAGAACCCCGAUUGCGAAGGCAGCCUGCCAAGCCAUGACUGACGCUGAUGCACGAAAGCGUGGGGAUCAAACAGGAUUAGAUACCCGUGUAGUC
rnacentral:rRNA from 1 species